rnacentral:rRNA from 1 species
AUUGAACGCUGGCGGCAGGCCUAACACAUGCAAGUCGAGCGGAUGACGGGAGCUUGCUCCUUGAUUCAGCGGCGGACGGGUGAGUAAUGCCUAGGAAUCUGCCUGGUAGUGGGGGACAACGUUUCGAAAGGAACGCUAAUACCGCAUACGUCCUACGGGAGAAAGCAGGGGACCUUCGGGCCUUGCGCUAUCAGAUGAGCCUAGGUCGGAUUAGCUAGUUGGUGGGGUAAUGGCUCACCAAGGCGACGAUCCGUAACUGGUCUGAGAGGAUGAUCAGUCACACUGGAACUGAGACACGGUCCAGACUCCUACGGGAGGCAGCAGUGGGGAAUAUUGGACAAUGGGCGAAAGCCUGAUCCAGCCAUGCCGCGUGUGUGAAGAAGGUCUUCGGAUUGUAAAGCACUUUAAGUUGGGAGGAAGGGCAGUAAGUUAAUACCUUGCUGUUUUGACGUUACUGACAGAACAAGCACCGGCUAACUCUGUGCCAGCCGCCGCCGUAAUAC